CCCCACCCCCACCCCCCGCACCCACGAGGCUGAGGUAUAUCUGGCACUCUCGUGCUGGCUUCUUUUCCGGCGAUACGUGGGAAGGUCUAACCACAGCCUACGGAUGGUCGUGGGUCUCCCCAGGGCUGUGCCCGGUUUCCUCACACCAUUAUGCUGGCCGCCGUCGUAUAAGUGAAAUAUUCUUGAGUACAGCGUAAAACACUAAUCAGAUAAAACAAAGAAAUAUCUAGCACAAUUCUAGGGCCUAAAAUUAUGCUAAGGUAUAUUAUGUAGAGUGGAAACUCUCAAGUGAAUCACCAGUAUAACCUGUGUGACUACAACCUAGCAGCAAUCAAACAAAUAACAAAUAACGAUAAACAAACGCGCAUCACUCCCCACUAUCUCUUAUAGCUGGUGUAUCGAAUUUCUGGGAAGUCUCUAAAUAUAGUGCGUGCACGUGACGCUUGUAAUUCUGUAAAAGCCUGGAGUCCUGAACUUGUUUCAAGUGAACAAUGGAUAUGGUUGAUUCGUUAACAUAACAAACUAUUUAAUGGGGGGUCUGCAAGCUUCAAUGUAUACGACUGUACGCUAGUUGUUUUCUUGACCAGGCUUGCAUUUUCCUAUCUGGCAAAUAGGCCAAUUAAUCAAAGUACGACUGACUGAAGUCGAUGUUUAGAUUACACAUAUAAAUUUGUACUCAACAUGGUAAUUCAAAAGAAUAUAUGAAGCAUAAAUUUCUUUAUAUGUAUGUAUAGUGACUAAUGUAAUAUAACUCCAUCGGUUCAUUGGUUCAACCCAAGACCUUCAGGUAACAUGUACUGCCAUUCUAUAGCUACAGAUUAAUCUCUUUAUCGGCUGGUGAUUGAAGUCGUUGCGAAACUGAUUAGUACUGGCAUAUCUGACUGCGCCGUCCAUGAGACUGCCCCUGUCACAUUGCUAUAUAGCGAGAGAUCAGUUUGAAGUGCAGAUGACAAAACGUCUGGAAAACAGGUCGAACUAAAGUGAACAGAGGUAGUACUUCCAUACCCUGAUCUUCUCAAACCACACAAAAUCCACAACAGAGCCAUCCAGUCUUGUCAUCAUGUGGCUUUUCAGAAGAUGGACCGGUUUGCUUUUGAUAGUCCUUCUGGCAACAAUUACUGCAACGACGCAGGCAACAACAACAAC